AGCAGAGAGAGUGAACAGUGUGAACAGAAAAGAGGGAAAAAGACGGAAAGCCAGGGCAGUGAGCAGCGGAGCCCGAGGAGAGCCGCAGAGGCAGAAGAGCAAGGCACAAAACAAUGGUGUUGGGAAGACCGGAGCAGCCCACUUGCACCACGAGGUGACACUGGGGAAAGAGCCUUCAAUCCCUGACACUCUCAAACAGCACGACCCACCUAGAGCCCCCCCUGCAGCCUUCAAUGAGAGAAAGCUGAGUGUUUGACACACAUACGCUUACAAUACAAGAGUGGUAAAAGUAUGCAAAAACAAUUAAACAGGCAGGCAGAGCUAAGUCAGUCCCAGUCCCAGGCCAUUUCAGACUGACUGUUUGCACGGCAACCUCAGAUGAUCUAUGAACAAGCACCAUGGCUACUGUCCAAUUCAGAAACACGUAUACGAGAAAUCUCUGCUCCGUGGAUAUCAAGAGUGCUGUCAUGCAGAACCUUCAAGAGUCUGUUCAAGGAAGAACUUACUUUUGCAGUAUGAAAGCUAUGAGAAGCAGCCUGGGAAGGGGGGGCGACUCCAUGGCACCCAAUGUUAAGCCUGCAUGUACACCUAGUAAAAUUUGGAAAUUGGAA